GACAUCCUUGUCUUGGGGAGCAUAGUGCGCAGUGAUCGUAAAGUGAGAGCACUGAUGCUGACACCCAAAUGUUAUUUUUAAUAACAAAACCCGCGUCCGGCUGCCGUUAGGGAGUCCGAACGCAAUUUUUGAUAAA
rfam:Papilio xuthus contig17343, whole genome shotgun sequence.